UCAGAAUUAAAUGGUUGACAACAUUAGGUGAUUUUUCUUGGAAUUUUAGGAAACUAAUUAUGAAAUUUUACAGUAAGGAGAAACAGGUGAUACUACACGGGAAACGUGGGGGCGACGUAACGAUGAUUUGCACACAACAAAUGAAGAAGGUUUUGCAUAAAGCAUGCAGUGGAUUUUUGGUACAACUUGAGCAGCAAACUAAGGGAGAGUCAACAGAAUUUGAAGAUCCAAAUCUACUUCCUUUGCUUGCUGAAUUUUUAGAUAUAUUUGUCGAACCGCGUAACCUACCUCUUACCCGCCGGCAUGAUUAUUAUAUAAUGAUUCUUCCAGGAAAACCUCCAGCA
rnacentral:lncRNA from 1 species